rnacentral:rRNA from 1 species
ACGAAGGGGGCUAGCGUUGUUCGGAAUUACUGGGCGUAAAGCGCGCGUAGGCGGUGAUCCAUGUCAGGGGUGAAAUCCCGGGGCUCAACUCCGGAAUUGCCUUUGAAACGGGAUCGCUAGAGUCCGAGAGAGGAUGGCGGAAUUCCUAGUGUAGAGGUGAAAUUCGUAGAUAUUAGGAAGAACACCGGUGGCGAAGGCGGCCAUCUGGCUCGGUACUGACGCUCAGGCGCGAAAGCGUGGGGAGCAAACAGG